rnacentral:rRNA from 1 species
GAAACCGAAGCUAAUACCGCAUAAGCCCGAGAGGGGAAAGCAGCAAUGCGCUGAAAGAGUAGUCCGCGGCUGAUUAGCUAGUUGGUGAGGUAAUGGCUCACCAAGGCAAUGAUCGGUAGCCGGCCUGAGAGGGCUCACGGCCACACUGGCACUGAAACACGGGCCAGACUCCUACGGGAGGCAGCAGUGGGGAAUCUUGCACAAUGGAGGAAACUCUGAUGCAGCGACGCCGCGUGAGUGAUGAAGCCCUUCGGGGUGUAAAGCUCUUUCGACGGGAACGAUAAUGACGGUACCCGGAGAAGAAGCUGCGGCUAACUACGUGCCAGCAGCCGCGGUAAUACGUAGGCAGCAAGCGUUGUUCGGAAUUACUGGGCGUAAAGCGAGUGUAGGUGGUGCUAUAAGUUUGUUGUGAAAUCUCCCGGCUCAACUGGGAGGGUGCGGCGAAGACUGUAGUGCUAGAGUAUGGGAGAGGUAGGCGGAAUUCCUGGUGUAGCGGUGAAAUGCGUAGAUAUCAGGAGGAACACCUGCGGUGUAGACGGCUUACUGGACCAUGACUGACACUGAAACUCGAAAGUGUGGGGAGCAAACAGGAUUAGAUACCCUGGUAGUCCACACCCUAAACGAUGCAUACUUGGUGCGAGCGAUUCAUUUCGUUCGUGCCGGAGCUAACGCGUUAAGUAUGCCGC